UGAGGAAUAUUGCGCAAUGGGCGAAAGCCUGACGCAGCGACACCGCGUGAAGGAUGAAGGUUUUAGGAUUGUAAACUUCUGUUAAGUGGGAAGAAAGGCAUAGUUCUAAUACAGCUAUGAGAUGACGGUACCACUAGAGAAAGCACCGGCUAACUUCGUGCCAGCAGCCGCGGUAAUACGAGGGGUGCAAACGUUAUUCGGAAUGAUUGGGCGUAAAGGGUGCGUAGGCGGCACGUUAAGUCAACUGUUAAAUCUCCCGGCCUAACCGGGAACAUGCAGUAGAAACUGAUGUGCUAGAGUAUGGAAGAGAGAAGUGGAAUUCUCGGAGUAGCGGUAAAAUGCGUAGAUCUCGAGAGGAACACCGAUGGCGAAGGCAGCUUCUUGGUCCAUUACUGACGCUGAGGCACGAAAGCGUGGGGAGCAAACAGGAUUAGAUACCCCUGUAGUCC
rnacentral:rRNA from 1 species